CCCAGUUCGGANCGGAGCCUGCAACCCGGCUCCGUGAAGCUGGAUUCGCUAGUAAUCGCGCAUCAGCCAUGGCGCGGUGAAUACGUUCCCGGGCCUUGUACACACCGCCCGUCAAGCCAUGGGAGCCGGGGGCGCCUGAAGUGCGGUACCGCGAGGGCCGCCCAAGGGCGAGACCGGUGACUGGGGCUAAGUCGUAACAAGGUAGC
rnacentral:rRNA from 1 species